AGAGUUUGAUCCUGGCUCAGGAUGAACGCUAGCUACAGGCUUAACACAUGCAAGUCGAGGGGAAACGAUAUUGGAAGCUUGCUUCCGAUAGGCGUCGACCGGCGCACGGGUGAGUAACGCGUAUCCAACCUGCCCACCACUUGGGGAUAACCUUGCGAAAGUAAGACUAAUACCCAAUGAUAUCUCUAGAAGACAUCUGAAAGAGAUUAAAGAUUUAUCGGUGAUGGAUGGGGAUGCGUCUGAUUAGCUUGUUGGCGGGGUAACGGCCCACCAAGGCGACGAUCAGUAGGGGUUCUGAGAGGAAGGUCCCCCACAUUGGAACUGAGACACGGUCCAAACUCCUACGGGAGGCAGCAGUGAGGAAUAUUGGUCAAUGGACGGGAGUCUGAACCAGCCAAGUAGCGUGCAGGAUGACGGCCCUAUGGGUUGUAAACUGCUUUUAUAAGGGAAUAAAGUUAGUCUCGUGAGACUUUUUGCAUGUACCUUAUGAAUAAGGACCGGCUAAUUCCGUGCCAGCAGCCGCGGUAAUACGGAAGGUCCGGGCGUUAUCCGGAUUUAUUGGGUUUAAAGGGAGCGUAGGCCGUCUGUUAAGCGUGUUGUGAAAUGUCGGGGCUCAACCUGGGCAUUGCAGCGCGAACUGGCAGACUUGAGUGCGCAGGAAGUAGGCGGAAUUCGUCGUGUAGCGGUGAAAUGCUUAGAUAUGACGAAGAACUCCGAUUGCGAAGGCAGCCUGCUGUAGCGUAACUGACGCUGAAGCUCGAAAGCGUGGGUAUCGAACAGGAUUAGAUACCCUGGUAGUCCACGCGGUAAACGAUGGAUGCUCGCUGUUUGCGUCUGACGUAAGCGGCCAAGCGAAAGCGUUAAGCAUCCCACCUGGGGAGUACGCCGGCAACGGUGAAACUCAAAGGAAUUGACGGGGGCCCG
rnacentral:rRNA from 1 species